UCUCAAAGGAGUCACACAGUCAUGCUUCCAGUUAGGAUGUGCUGUUUUGUAGACACCAGAAAGCAGAGCCAUGUGGCCCAAGCCUCUGUUCCAACUCAAUGGUAGAAGCUUCUGGACUGCCUCUUGCUCAGGUUUAUUACUUCUGCAACUGCAUCCCUUCCUCCUCCUCCUCAGAGAUUCCUUCCUCUGCAAUGUGCAAGCCAUGAGUUGCUGUGGACAAUGAAAAACUGGAAUAUAGAGUUUUUUUCAUGUAACAAAUGAAAAAUACCUUGAAGAGAUGAUUCUACCAAACUGAAAUCUGGUAAAGACAGUUACUAAGGCCAUCUCCUUAACAAGACCUUAAUUGACUUUCAUUCUCCAGUGUUAUCUGAAGUGGAUCACUUUACAUUCCAGUAGGAAGCAGAAAGCCACCGGUGCAGGUGGUUCUAGGUGCAGAACUGUGUUAACCGUCUUGCAAGAGCGUUCAUAAACCAGACUUCGUAUAAACUAGAUUUCACUAGUGUUCAGCACAUCAGAGAGAAUAUCACCACAGAACUGUCUACCCUGUCAGCAGUACAAGCUGCAGAAUGAAUUGCUACUGAAUCUAAAUUUAGGUAUCAGGAGAGGAUACGCUGAGCAAGUGAAAACGCAGAAGCAAAGUGACAUGCCAUGGCUUUGCCGAUAUGCAGAUACAAGCAAUCACGACAACAGACACAGCAAAAAUGUGACCGAGGACAUUUGCAAGAGGGAGGCAGAAGCUACUGUGGAUGUGCCGUUUCACUGUUCGGCUGUCAUAGUGCCUAGACAUGAGAACUGAGACCCUGGAGACUUUUUCUUGUGCCUGCUGCAGUGAACACUGAAGGAUGAAGAAAAAGAAAAGAAUCAAAGACGGAAUGAUAAAUUAGACUAGGGGAAAAAACAAAGUGGAAGGCAGUUCUGCCUGUUCCUGUUCAUCUGUGACACUGGUAUCUUCUGUUGCACUGAUGAUCUCAGAGAGUCACUCUGUACGGAUACCUCUGAGGAGCUGGAACAGUUGUGGUCUUGUUAAUUACUCUUCUCUUGAUAUUUAUCCCCUUUUGUUUCACUUCCAUUCAUAGAAGGGCUGAAGCAGAGAGGGUAAAAGGUCAAGAGAAAGGAAGCACUGCUGGGAGAGAAGAUGUUACAAUAGCCCAAGUGUAUGGGGAAAAAAAUGGAGGAGAGUAGUUCAUAACAGGGUCUCUGUUCCUGUGAAGCCCAUGCAGAGAGCUAUUCAGCAGUUUAGUAUGCUAUUAAUAUAUGCACCUGGACUAGUGUAUACAGCCUGUGUAUACACGUUUAUGUAUAUUUUAUGUAGAUGUUUUCUAGCCUCAAUUAUAUUCUGGCUUUGGCAUUGUUGGAUUGCAAAGCACAUGAUGGAGAUUAGAGGAAGAAGAAGAAUUUACAUUGCUCUCCAGUCUGAGCACUUUAUUUGCAGCUGGUUUUGUGGGACCUCUAUGGAAAUAGUGGAAGGAAAUGUAGAUGCAGUAGAAGAGCUGAUUUUAGAUUGUUUUCCCUGAGCUGCUGUAUAUGCACUGCAGAAAUGCUGAGUAUUCAAGAAGAAGUCUCAAUCAUGAAAGAUUUUUUUUUUGUUUUCCCGGUAAACUAUUUGAAAUUAUUGUUGCACAGAUCAGUAUCGUUAAUAGUAUCUGUGUGUAAUAGUAACUGUGCAGGCACAAAGCUGGAACUCCUUAAUGCUGUUACCCAUCCUAGGAAUAACUCCAGCUGUCAAGGAUUCCACUGUCAGAGUUGUAUGCAUAAAAAUUGAAGUAUAUUAUGCUCUAUACUUUGUUGUAAAAGCCUUCACCUGGGAUCAGUAUAGAAGCAAGCUACGUGCUUGAGGUAAAAAUGGCAUUUUAAAUUUGACAUUCAUGAAAAUGUUUCCAUCAAUUAGGCUCAUGAACCAUGCCUAACAUUUCUAAAAUGACUGUUAAAAUCACAGUCAUGUUGAGAUCAAUGCCUAAGUCUGUGUUAAUUCCAGUGAGGCCAAGGUUUCUUUCCUUGUCAUAAGCGUGUUUGGCUACCUACAUCCUGAACUCAGCUGUGUAAGUUAUCACAGCAGUCCCAUUGCAUUUUCAGGUGUUGGGUCUGAAGUCUGCUCUGCCCUGAAGUAAACUGGAAUUUCUGCCAUCUCUAGAAAAAUAACAAAAGCCUCUGAAACCUUUGAAUGUGAUUUUGGAAAUGUCCUGUGUUGUCACACAAAUGUUUCUCCCUGCUUUAAGAAUAAUAGCAGAGAGGCAAAGCAACUCAAUAAAGGUAAAUGAAAAUGAAUAUGCUUAUUGCUUGCACAACAUAAGAAAGAUUGAAAGCAUUCAUUGUGGAUGACAGUUAUGUUGUUUCAUCUAGCCCUUAACCAAAUUGUCUGUAUCUAUACAUUUCGCGUUUGCACCUGUAGUUUAACCUAGGUGCUUUACACUUUUUUUUCAUAUUUUCUAACUAAAAAAGACAUUUUAAAGGAGCCAACAUUGUCAAGCAUAAUUAAUGCAACAUGAUUUCUGGAUUACUGCCACCAGACGGAACCCAAUAGACUUGUGUGCUGUUACGGGAUUUGCUAAACAGCUUUAAAACAUGUUCUCUUCCAUCCUGCAGAGCUAAAUUGCUUGAGAUGUACUGGAUCAUUUGCAGCUUCAAACUGUCCAAUGUAGACCAGAAAAUCAGUUCUCAUUUGGCUCUUUUAUGAUAUUUCCAAGGGAUAUAUCUGGCACAUAAGAUCAGAGGCAUGGGCAUAUGACAUAGUGCAUUUGACAUGAAUGUGCAAGACAAAUACUUCAAAGUGAGAUCUCUCCAGAACUCUGAUAAAUCAAGCCUGUCCACUAAAGAUGAGGAUAUAUGGGUGAACAAUACUGUGGUACAUAGUCAUAGUUCCCGUUGAAAUCUGGAAUCAGUGUAGUGUUUUUAGAGGUUUCCUUGCCAUUCCAGGCAAUUAUCAGCUCAGUACAGUCCCAAAGUAAAUCACUGACAUGGUUCCACUAAUGUCCGCUUUUUUUCUUUUUUUGUGGGGCGGGGUGGGGUGGGGGGGGGAGGCUUGGUAUCAUAUCUACCUCUCCAUUUUUAACUCAUCAUAUGAGCUAUUAUGAGCAAGUGCCUGACAGUCUUGCAGCCAAGUGUCAGAUUUUCUUGAACUCAUUGAACACCUCUGCAUAUAGACCAAGGACUCUCCCAGGCCAAUCUGAGGUCUUUGGAAACAAAGCAGACUUGUGCUAAUGCAAACGUGUGAAAAAGUACACAUUACAAAAGGUGUGGCCCUCUGAAUUUCUUUAGUGAGAUGCAUAGCCUGGUUCUUACAUUACUCACAGUGCCACCAUUUCGCCUUCCCAAUGAGCAAUUAUUAAAGACAUUCACAUUUAUACCAAUGUUUCUUUCUUUGAAUGAUUCUCGAAUAUCUGUUCCAACUCAAUCAAGU